UGCAGCCUUGUCAAAUUCAGGACUUGCCUCUCCUGGGUGGGUUCUGGCCCAGCCGGCUGCCACAGCAACACCUGUAGUUCAUGGGCCCCCACGUCCCGCUCAUUGGACCCUGGGGAUGAAACUGUGCUACAGACACAC
rnacentral:snoRNA from 1 species